UACAGAGGUCCCAAGCGUUGUUCGGAUUCACUGGGCGUAAAGGGCGCGUAGGUGGUUCUGUAUGUCUACCGUGAAAGCAUACAGCUCAACUGUAUUUUGUCGGUAGAAACUGCAGGACUUGAGGCUGGGAGGGGCUGGUGGAAUUCCCUGUGUAGCGGUGAAAUGCGUAGAGAUGGGGGAGAACACUCGUGGCGAAGGCGGCCAGCUAGACCAGUUCUGACACUGAGGCGCGACAGCGUGGGGAGCAAACAGG
rnacentral:rRNA from 1 species